UACGUAGGGGGCUAGCGUUGUCCGGAAUUCUUGGGCGUAAAGAGCGCGUAGGCGGUUUGUUGCGUCGGCUGUGAAAUCCCGAGGCUCAACCUCGGGUCUGCAGUCGAUACGAGCAAACUAGAGUGUUGCAGGGGAGACUGGAAUUCCUGGUGUAGCGGUGAAAUGCGCAGAUAUCAGGAGGAACACCGGUGGCGAAGGCGGGUCUCUGGGCAACAACUGACGCUGAGGAGCGAAAGCGUGGGGAGCAAACAGG
rnacentral:rRNA from 1 species